rnacentral:rRNA from 1 species
ACCUGAGAGAUCAGGUGUUCCCUUCGGGGACAGAAUGACAGGUGGUGCAUGGUUGUCGUCAGCUCGUGUCGUGAGAUGUUGGGUUAAGUCCCGCAACGAGCGCAACCCUUAUUGCCAGUUGCCAGCAUUCAGUUGGGCACUCUGACAAGACUGCCGGUGACAAACCGGAGGAAGGUGGGGAUGACGUCAAAUCAUCAUGCCCCUUAUGACCUGGGCUACACACGUGCUACAAUGGACGAUACAACGAGUUGCUAGACCACGAGGUUAAGCUAAUCUCUUAAAGUCGUUCUCAGUUCGGAUUGCAGGCUGCAACUCGCCUGCAUGAAGUCGGAAUCGCUAGUAAUCGCGGAUCAGCAUCCCGCGGUGAAUACGUUCCCGGGUCUUGUACACACCGA